ACUCCUGCGGGAGGCAGCAGUGGGGAAUUUUGGACAAUGGGCGAAAGCCUGAUCCAGCAAUGCCGCGUGAGUGAAGAAGGCCUUCGGGUUGUAAAGCUCUUUUGUCAGGGAAGAAACGGUGAAAGCUAAUAUCUUUUGCUAAUGACGGUACCUGAAGAAUAAGCACCGGCUAACUACGUGCCAGCAGCCGCGGUAAUACGUAGGGUGCAAGCGUUAAUCGGAAUUACUGGGCGUAAAGCGUGCGCAGGCGGUUUUGUAAGUCUGAUGUGAAAUCCCCGGGCUCAACCUGGGAAUUGCAUUGGAGACUGCAAGGCUAGAAUCUGGCAGAGGGGGGUAGAAUUCCACGUGUAGCAGUGAAAUGCGUAGAUAUGUGGAGGAACACCGAUGGCGAAGGCAGCCCCCUGGGUCAAGAUUGACGCUCAUGCACGAAAGCGUGGGGAGCAAACAGGAUUAGAUACCCCAGUAGUCCCAUGA
rnacentral:rRNA from 1 species